rnacentral:rRNA from 1 species
GAUGAACGCUGACAGAAUGCUUAACACAUGCAAGUCGACUCGAGUCUUCGGACUUGGGUGGCGCACGGGUGAGUAACGCGUAAAGAACUUGCCUCUUAGACCGGGACAACAUCUGGAAACGGAUGCUAAUACCGGAUAUUAUGGUUUUUUCGCAUGGAGGAAUCAUGAAAGCUAGAUGCGCUAAGAGAGAGCUUUGCGUCCCAUUAGCUGGUUGGUGAGGUAACGGCCCACCAAGGCAAUGAUGGGUAGCCGGCCUGAGAGGGUGAACGGCCACAAGGGGACUGAGACACGGCCCUUACUCCUACGGGAGGCAGCAGUGGGGAAUAUUGGACAAUGGACCACAAGUCUGAUCCAGCAAUUCUGUGUGCACGAUGACGUUUUUCGGAAUGUAAAGUGCUUUCAGUCGGGAAGAAGUCAGUGACGGUACCGACAGAAGAAGCGACGGCUAAAUACGUGCCAGCAGCCGCGGUAAUACGUAUGUCGCAAGCGUUAUCCGGAUUUAUUGGGCGUAAAGCGCGUCUAGGCGGCAAGGAAAGUCUGAUGUGAAAAUGCGGAGCUCAACUCCGUAUGGCGUUGGAAACUGCCUUACUAGAGUACUGGAGAGGUAGGCGGAACUACAAGUGUAGAGGUGAAAUUCGUAGAUAUUUGUAGGAAUGCCGAUGGGGAAGCCAGCCUACUGGACAGAUACUGACGCUAAAGCGCGAAAGCGUGGGUAGCAAACAGG